UACAGAGGUCCCAAGCGUUGUUCGGAUUCACUGGGCGUAAAGGGUGCGUAGGUGGUCGGGUAAGUCUGAUGUGAAAUCUCCGAGCUUAACUCGGAAACUGCAUCGGAUACUAUUCGGCUCGAGGGUUGGAGGGGGGACUGGAAUGCUUGGUGUAGCAGUGAAGUGCGUAGAUAUCAAGCGGAACACCAGUGGCGAAGGCGAGUCCCUGGACAACUCCUGACACUGAGGCACGAAAGCUAGGGGAGCAAACAGG
rnacentral:rRNA from 1 species